rnacentral:rRNA from 1 species
UAGUAAUUCCAGUUUAUCCUGCUGGCGGCUGCGGCUAUCUGGCUUGUACUAAGACAUGCAAGUCAUUCGCAAGAAGGCGAACUGCUCAGUAACACGUAGCUAACCUAACUUAUAGUCAAGAAUACCCUCGGGAAACUGAGAAUAAGACUUGAUAAGAGAUUAUUUCUGGAAUGAGUUUUCUCUGAAAGGCAACGCUGUAAGAUGGGGCUGCGGCUGAUUAGGUUGUUGGCGGGGCAAUGGCCCACCAAGCCCAUGAUCAGUAAGGGCUCUUAGCGGAGGAGCCCUGAGAGGGAAUCUGAGACACUAUUCCCAGCCUUACGGGGUGCAGCAGUUAAGAAUUUUCUGCAAUGCGCGCAAGCGUGACAGAGCGAGCCAGAGUGUUUCUCUAUUUAGAGAAACUUUUGCCAAAUGUAAAUAGUUUGGAGAAUAAGGACUGGGCAAGACCGGUGCCAGCCGCCGCGGUAAUCCCGGCAGUCCAAGUCGCAGCCACAAUUAUUGGGUCUAAAACAUCCGUAGCUUGCUUUGUAAGUCUUUUGUGAAAUUUCUUAUCUUAAAUAAGGAGCGGGCAGAAGAUACUGCGAAGCUAGAGACUGGGAGACGUAAGGAGUACAGAAGGUGUACCGGUAAAAUGGGUUGAUCCUUUCUGGACUAACGAUAGCGAAGGCACCUUACGAGAACAGAUCUGACAGUAAGGGAUGAAGGCUAAGGUCGCGAAAGGGAUUAGAUACCCCUGUAGUCUUAGCAGUAAACACUGCACACUAAACAUCGGUACCUCCUCGAGAGGCAUCGGUGCUGUAGGGAAGCCGUAGAGUGUGCUACCUGGGAAGUAUAGUCGCAAGGCCGAAACUUAAAGGAAUUGGCGGGGGGGCACUACAACGGGUGACGCGUGCGGUUCAAUUAGAUUAUACACCGUGAACCUCACCAGGAGCGACAGCAGAAUGAAGGUCAGUCUGAAGGGCUUACCUGACACGCUGAGAGG